UCCAGACUCCUACGGGAGGCAGCAGUGAGGAAUAUUGGUCAAUGGCCGAGAGGCUGAACCAGCCAAGUCGCGUGAGGGAUGACGGUCCUAUGGAUUGUAAACCUCUUUUGUCGGGGAGCAAGGCCCGCCACGUGUGGCGGGAAGGAGAGUACCCGAAGAAAAAGCAUCGGCUAACUCCGUGCCAGCAGCCGCGGUAAUACGGAGGAUGCGAGCGUUAUCCGGAUUUAUUGGGUUUAAAGGGUGCGUAGGCGGAACAUUAAGUCAGCGGUAAAAUCGAGGGGCUCAACCCCUUUAAGCCGUUGAAACUGGUGAUCUUGAGUGGGCGAGAAGUAUGCGGAAUGCGUGGUGUAGCGGUGAAAUGCAUAGAUAUCACGCAGAACUCCGAUUGCGAAGGCAGCAUACCGGCGCCCGACUGACGCUGAGGCACGAAAGCGUGGGGAUCGAACAGGAUUAGAUACCCCCGUACUU
rnacentral:rRNA from 1 species